rnacentral:rRNA from 1 species
GGCGAUCAGAUACCGCCCUAGUUCUGACCGUAAACGAUGCCAACUAGCGAUCCGCCGGCGGAUAUUUCGCCCUGGUGGGGAGCUUCCCGGAAACGAAAGUCUUCCGGUUCCGGGGGAAGUAUGGUUGCAAAGCUGAAACUUAAAGGAAUUGACGGAAGGGCACCACCAGGAGUGGAGCCUGCGGCUUUAUUUGACUCAACACGGGAAAACUCACCCGGGCCGGACACCGUAAGGAUUGACAGAUUGAUAGCUUUUUCAUGAUUCGGUGGAUGGUGGUGCAUGGCCGUUCUUAGUUCGUGGAGCGAUUUGUCUGGUUUAUUCCGAUAACGAGCGAGACUCUAGCCUACUAAAUAGUUCGCACAUUGUCAAUGUGUGUGCGCCUACUUCUAAGAGGGAUUUGCGGUGUUCACCCGCACGAGAUUGAGCAAUAACAGGUCUGUGAUCCCCUUAGAUGUCCGGGGCUGCACGCGCGCUACACUGGCGAAAUCAGCGUGCUUGUCCUUUCUCGAAAGGGAUGGGUAAACCAUUGAAAAUUUGCCGUGAUUGGGAUCGGAAAUUGCAAUUAUUUUCCGUGAACGAGGAAUUCCAAGUGAGUGCGAGCCAUCAACUCGCGUUGAUUACGUCCCUGCCCUUUGUA